rnacentral:rRNA from 1 species
UACGUAGGGGGGCAAGCGUUGUCCGGAUUUAUUGGGCGUAAAGAGCGUGUAGGCGGCCAUGUAGGUCCGUUGUGAAAACUCGAGGCUCAACCUCGAGACGCCGAUGGAAACCAUGUGGCUAGAGUCCGGAAGAGGAGAGUGGAAUUCCUGGUGUAGCGGUGAAAUGCGCAGAUAUCAGGAGGAACACCAAUGGCGAAGGCAGCUCGCUGGGACGUGACUGACGCUGAGACGCGAAAGCGUGGGGAGCAAACAGG